AAAUUGAAGAGUUUGAUCAUGGCUCAGAUUGAACGCUGGCGGCAGGCCUAACACAUGCAAGUCGAACGGUAACAGGAAGCAGCUUGCUGCUUUGCUGACGAGUGGCGGACGGGUGAGUAAUGUCUGGGAAGCUGCCUGAUGGAGGGGGAUAACUACUGGAAACGGUGGCUAAUACCGCAUAACGUCGCAAGACCAAAGAGGGGGACCUUCGGGCCUCUUGCCAUCAGAUGUGCCCAGAUGGGAUUAGCUUGUUGGUGAGGUAACGGCUCACCAAGGCGACGAUCCCUAGCUGGUCUGAGAGGAUGACCAGCCACACUGGAACUGAGACACGGUCCAGACUCCUACGGGAGGCAGCAGUGGGGAAUAUUGCACAAUGGGCGCAAGCCUGAUGCAGCCAUGCCGCGUGUAUGAAGAAGGCCUUCGGGUUGUAAAGUACUUUCAGCGGGGAGGAAGGUGUUGUGGUUAAUAACCACAGCAAUUGACGUUACCCGCAGAAGAAGCACCGGCUAACUCCGUGCCAGCAGCCGCGGUAAUACGGAGGGUGCAAGCGUUAAUCGGAAUUACUGGGCGUAAAGCGCACGCAGGCGGUCUGUCAAGUCGGAUGUGAAAUCCCCGGGCUCAACCUGGGAACUGCAUUCGAAACUGGCAGGCUUGAGUCUUGUAGAGGGGGGUAGAAUUCCAGGUGUAGCGGUGAAAUGCGUAGAGAUCUGGAGGAAUACCGGUGGCGAAGGCGGCCCCCUGGACAAAGACUGACGCUCAGGUGCGAAAGCGUGGGGAGCAAACAGGAUUAGAUACCCUGGUAGUCCACGCCGUAAACGAUGUCUACUUGGAGGUUGUGCCCUUGAGGCGUGGCUUCCGGAGCUAACGCGUUAAGUAGACCGCCUGGGGAGUACGGCCGCAAGGUUAAAACUCAAAUGAAUUGACGGGGGCCCGCACAAGCGGUGGAGCAUGUGGUUUAAUUCGAUGCAACGCGAAGAACC
rnacentral:rRNA from 1 species